AUUGAACGCUGGCGGCAGGCCUAACACAUGCAAGUCGAACGAUAACAGGAAGAAGCUUGCUUCUUUGCUGACGAGUGGCGGACGGGUGAGUAAUGUCUGGGAAACUGCCUGAUGGAGGGGGAUAACUACUGGAAACGGUAGCUAAUACCGCAUAACGUCGCAAGACCAAAGAGGGGGACCUUCGGGCCUCUUGCCAUCGGAUGUGCCCAGAUGGGAUUAGCUAGUAGGUGGGGUAACGGCUCACCUAGGCGACGAUCCCUAGCUGGUCUGAGAGGAUGACCAGCCACACUGGAACUGAGACACGGUCCAGACUCCUACGGGAGGCAGCAGUGGGGAAUAUUGCACAAUGGGCGCAAGCCUGAUGCAGCCAUGCCGCGUGUAUGAAGAAGGCCUUCGGGUUGUAAAGUACUUUCAGCGGGGAGGAAGGGAGUAAAGUUAAUACCUUUGCUCAUUGACGUUACCCGCAGAAGAAGCACCGGCUAACUCCGUG
rnacentral:rRNA from 1 species